rnacentral:rRNA from 1 species
GUCCAUGCCUUAAACGAUGCAUACUAGGUGUAGGAGGGCUCAACCCCCCCUGUACCGGAGCUAACGCGUUAAGUAUGCCGCCUGGGGAGUACGCUCGCAAGGGUGAAACUCAAAAGAAUUGACGGGGGCCCGCACAAGCAGUGGAGCAUGUGGUUUAAUUCGAUGCAACGCGAAGAACCUUACCUGGGCUCGAAAUGUAGAGGACGACACCAGAGAUGGUGUUUCUCGAAAGGGUCUUUACAUAGGUGCUGCAUGGCUGUCGU